GAUGAACGCUAGCUACAGGCUAACGCAUGCAAGUCGAGGGGAAACGAUAUUGGAAGCUUGCUUCCGAUAGGCGUCGACCGGCGCAUGGGUGAGUAACGCGUAUCCAACCUGCCCACCACUUGGGGAUAACCUUGCGAAAGUAAGACUAAUACCCAAUGAUAUCUCUAGAAGACAUCUGAAAGAGAUUAAAGAUUUAUCGGUGAUGGAUGGGGAUGCGUCUGAUUAGCUUGUUGGCGGGGUAACGGCCCACCAAGGCGACGAUCAGUAGGGGUUCUGAGGGGAAGGUCCCCCAGAUUGGGAAUGAGACACGGUCCAAACUCCUACGGGAGGCAGCAGUGAGGAAUAUUGGUCAAUGGGCGAGAGCCUGAAACAGCCAAGUAGCGUGCAGGAUGACGGCCCUAUGGGUUGUAAACUGCUUUUAUAAGGGAAUAAAGUGAGAGUCGUGACUCUUUUUGCAUGUACCUUAUGAAUAAGGGCCGGCUAAUUCCGUGCCAGCCGCCGCGGUAACAC
rnacentral:rRNA from 1 species